GACGAACGCUGGCGGCGUGCUUAACACAUGCAAGUCGAGCGGAGCGGCGAACGGGUGAGUAACGCGUGAGUAACUGCCCCCCUCUCUGGGAUAACAGUUGGAAACGGCUGCUCAUACCGGAUAGUGGGGGAUGACUCGCGGCCUAUCAGCUUGUUGGUGGGGUAGUGGCCUACCAAGGCGACGACGGGUCGCCGGCCUGGGAGGGCGACCGGCCACAUGGGGCUCGGAAACGGCCAAAACUCCUACUGGCGGCAUGGGUGGAGAAUAGUGCACAAUGGUGGAAACCCUGAUGCACGGACGCCGCGUGCGGGAGGACGGCCUUCGGGUUGUAAACCGCUUUCAGCCAUGACGCGGUAGUGGCAGAAGAAGCACCGGCUAACUACGUGCCAGCAGCCGCGGUAAUUC
rnacentral:rRNA from 1 species